rnacentral:tRNA from 1 species
AGAGACUUAGGAUAAUUAGACCAAGGGCCUUCAAAGCCCUCAGCGGGAGUGAAAGCCUCUCAGACUCUG